UAUCAAGCGCUUAGAACAGUGCAUCUGAGUGCGAGCACUGUUCCAAGUGCUUGAUAAG
rnacentral:pre_miRNA from 1 species